UUUUAGGUACUUUAUUUUUCUUGUUGCUAUAUGACAUGGGAUUUUUUUUUCCUGAUUUCUGUUUUUGAUAUUUCAUUGUUGGUGUACAAAAAUGCCUUCAAUUUCUGAAUAUUGACUUUGUAUUCCUCUGUUUGGCCAAAUUCAUUGAUAAGAUCAAGGAGUUUU